GGGGUUGUAGCUCAGUGGUUGAGUGCUUGCCUUGCAUGCGUGAGGCACUGGGUUCAAUCCUCAGCACCA
rnacentral:tRNA from 1 species